rnacentral:lncRNA from 1 species
AAGAAAAGUAAACCAGAGUUAGAGCUUGCUCAUUCAUGGAUCAAAACUUGCAAUUCUACUUAAACAUAUCUUGGCGAAAAUAGCUUUCAGCGGUUAAGCAGAAUCGACAUGGCGAGUGGCCUUGGCAGCUUCUACUGAUUCACUUUCUAUAUCAGAAACGUCGUCUUUUGUUCGGUAGCUGUGCGUUGGCUUUUCUGUUUUAUGAUCGUUUCUUGGACGAUGAAGGUUUAGUUAACCCUCCUUGGCAAACUUGUGAGCCCCACGUUUUCCGCCAUGAAUAAGAGUUUCCCAAGAACGACCGUGAAGACUUUCCUGUUUUAUAAAAAAAAACCAAAAAAAAGGAAAAAGACAAAGAAUGUCCUUGGGUGUCGAUGACUCGAGGAUAGAUCUCGAUUUUUCCAAAAUGGAGGCCUUUUUGAACAACAUAUGGAAACCAUUUCCACCCUUUAUUUGGUGUGAAACAAGUGAACGCGAGGUACUCUUUUUUGUUAACGUUUUCUGGAUGCCCGCCCUUGUAUUCCGAACACUGGUAUGCAUGCCGUCAAGACACGAGAGAUUUCAGCUCUUAGAUUUAUUUUAAGAAUGAACAGCCAAAGUUGAUACUGUUCACGUUGAACUGUGGAAUGUCACCUUUGCUAAGCACUAUGCUAUUUUAAAAUCAUAUGAUCUAAAAUUAAUAGCAGCUGUCCCCGUAUUUACAGUGAACCGUAACUACGUCAACUACUUUCAAUUUCGAAAAAUAUCGCUCUGACAUCCUUACUCGUUCAAGCAUUCAAAUACGGUAACCAAUGCAUUUCAGCACAAUCAAACAACUGAAAGAGAAUCGUAGUUUUUGGGCUAACCUGAUGACCCAAUGCUAGACCCUGUUUCCCCAUCAAAGCAUCAUAGCCUACUUAUUUACAAGCUGGCUAUGUUUUCCGCUAUGGCACCAAGUCAUUCCGUUUUCUCACUAUAUUAUGCCCUUUAAAUCCGCCAGGCAGAACUAUUUUGGUCUAGAAAACUAGAACCAUCACAACUACUACUGCAUGAAUGCCAAAAAGAUCGGUACCAAAAGCAAUUCAGUGUCGAUGAAGCAUAUCAAAGACAAACCCUAUUCUCUUUCAUAGCUAUCUCAACCAGUUUUAUGUAAAAAAAUGUGUUGGGUCUGAGUCAUAAAAUCCCAGUUGCAUAGCGAUUGAAGAAAAAUAGUGAGCCACGUCUACACGUCAUGGGGUUUGCUACUGUCCAGACAAUCCUCAGACAUUUCCCCUUUUGUAUGGAGAACCGUUCAUCGUCGGCUCUUCAUCACAGACACACCGCAAAGAAUCAAUUAGAAAUGCUUAGACCAUUUAAAAAUUUUUACAUUAAUUAACCCAACUUUUUCAAUUUACAUUUGAUGGAACUCACAUAUUUCUUUAACGUUCAAUAGUUUAUUAAUGUCGUCCAGCAUUGUUGAUUGCGACACAUUACCAUCAAAGAGAUGCUGGUAAGCAAAUCUCAAUUAUAAUUGUUAACAAAAUCAAAGGUGCCGUAGACAGUCAGUCUUUUACACGUAACGUCCUGUCACGUGACGUCACGUAAUUUCCUGAUGGUGAAAUCGUCUAGAUAGCUAAAUAAUCCCCAUUGUUACAAGCUAGGACUCGGUUACCCGAGACCCGGUUACUAUCGGAAGGUACUGACACAACACAAAACAAAAUUACGAAUGAAAAAAACAUUUUCGUGUGUCGCGCUACUAUCUUCCAGUAGUAAAUGCCAGUAGUAAAUAGUAAAUGCUCCUGAACCCUAGUAAAUAUUUUGCCAAUAGAUGGCAAUGCGACGUUUAAGAAGGUUCGAUUUCAAAACCUGGCAACACUAGUUAGUUCCGUACAUGGUUCCGUAUAACUCAAUAGUUCCGUAUAACUCAAUAGUUCCGUAUAACUCAAGUACUCAACAGCUCACGGUGUUCGCGAAGUACCCCAUAAGGCGAUAGCCUUAGAGAAACCAAAAAUCACACGAAUUUUUAUGGACAUGUCAGCUGUCCCGUCAGCUGUUUCAUUUCGCGUGGCUUUGGACUGAUGAUGGAUGCUUAAACAAACGUCUAUCUUCUCAAAAUUUAUCCACCAAUUCCGUGUGUUUUGAGCUGCAUCUUGUGAAUUCAAUCAAUGCAGAGAUUUUUAAGGAGGAGCAUGGCCUGGCUUUGCUAGCACGUUUUUUAUCUCCGUUAGUCUAAUACACACACUGUACCGAAGGUCUUUGGGAUAUACCUGAUGUACUGUGGUGGCCGCAGUAUCAUUCAGUGACAGAAAGGAAUGCCAUCAAUGUUCUCUUGUCAGUUUAAUACAAGAUUUCCAGUAUUAA